rnacentral:rRNA from 1 species
GUGGGGAAUAUUGCACAAUGGGCGAAAGCCUGAUGCAGCGACGCCGCGUGAGGGAUGACGGCCUUCGGGUUGUAAACCUCUUUCAGCGGGGACGAAGGGCAACUGACGGUACCCGCAGAAGAAGCACCGGCUAACUACGUGCCAGCAGCCGCGGUAAUACGUAGGGUGCGAGCGUUGUCCGGAAUUAUUGGGCGUAAAGAGCUCGUAGGCGGUUUGUUGCGUCGGCUGUGAAAACUUCACGCUUAACGUGGAGCCUGCAGUCGAUACGGGCAGACUUGAGUUCGGCAGGGGAGACUGGAAUUCCUGGUGUAGCGGUGAAAUGCGCAGAUAUCAGGAGGAACACCGGUGGCGAAGGCGGGUCUCUGGGCCGAUACUGACGCUGAGGAGCGAAAGCGUGGGGAGCGAACAGGAUUAGAAACCCGGGUAGUCC